UACAGAGGAUGCAAGCGUUAUCCGGAAUUACUGGGCGUAAAGGGCGCGUAGGCGGCCAGGUAGGUCUGCUGUGAAAACUCGAGGCUCAACCUCGAGACGUCGGCGGAAACCAUCUGGCUAGAGUCCGGAAGAGGAGAGUGGAAUUCCUGGUGUAGCGGUGAAAUGCGCAGAUAUCAGGAAGAACACCCGUGGCGAAGGCGGCUCUCUGGGACGGUACUGACGCUGAGACGCGGAAGCGUGGGGAGCGAACAGG
rnacentral:rRNA from 1 species